CACGUAGGAGGCGAGCGUUGUCCGGAAUCAUUGGGCGUAAAGAGCGCGCAGGCGGCUUGGCAAGUCGGGUGUGAAAUCCCGGGGCUCAACCCCGGGACUGCAUUCGAUACUGUCAGGCUAGAGGUAGGUAGGGGAGAUCGGAAUUCCUGGUGUAGCGGUGAAAUGCGCAGAUAUCAGGAGGAACACCGGUGGCGAAGGCGGAUCUCUGGGCAGUAACUGACGCUGAGGAGCGAAAGCGUGGGGAGCGAACAGG
rnacentral:rRNA from 1 species